rnacentral:rRNA from 1 species
CCCGUUUUAGGGGGGACCUGCCCGAAAGGCAGCGGCGACGUCGCGUCGGGUCCUCGAGCGUAUGGGGCUUUGUCACUCGCUCGGGAGGGACCUGCGGGCGUUGGUCACCCAACUGUAUUUUUCCACGGUUGACCUCGGAUCAGGUAGGAGU